CAGUCGCCACGGUAAUACGGAAGGUCCGGGCGUUAUCCGGAUUUAUUGGGUUUAAAGGGAGCGUAGGCUGGAGAUUAAGUGUGUUGUGAAAUGUAGGCGCUCAACGUCUGACUUGCAGCGCAUACUGGUUUCCUUGAGUACGCACAACGUUGGCGGAAUUCGUCGUGUAGCGGUGAAAUGCUUAGAUAUGACGAAGAACUCCGAUUGCGAAGGCAGCUGACGGGAGCGCAACUGACGCUGAAGCUCGAAGGUGCGGGUAUCGAACAGGAUUAGAUACCCCUGUAGUCCCUGUCUCUUAUAC
rnacentral:rRNA from 1 species